AUGACGGGGAGAAAGGACGUCCUACUCGGCAGUCGGCAGGCACUCGCCGUCGCCGUCGCCGUCGUCCACGCCGGUGCGGCCGCCGCGAGCAUGGUUGCACCGUUCAGCGUUUAUGGAAGGGUGCAACAACCACUGGUGUACCUGUACCAGCCGCACGUCUUCCUUGGCCUUCGUGCAAAGAGCCGAGCCGUCAGGCAUAACGACUCGCAUCGCAUCAUCGAGCAUUAUCAUCGUAGAAAAUCUCCGUUGACAGGAAAGCUGGCCGCGAACGCCAAGCUUCGCUGGACGCCUCCUAACCAGCAGCAGUAUUAUUUGCAUACAGAAAAAGCAGAGGAAUCGAUCGCAGAGUCUUAA
rnacentral:rRNA from 1 species